GUUUAGCUUGCGUGUUCCAGAAUACACCAACACAUGAUCAAUAGUUUGGUUUGUGCAACAAAGGCAGUCCUGUUGCCUGACUAUCUGAUUCACAAACAGAGGAGAACGUCUCGAGGGCAUCGGGAACUUUGCAGGGGCUGAGGUGCUAUCAGUCAUCAUGUGGGAGAUCAAAGAGAAGCCUAGAGACCGUCAACAAUGGAGGAAAACCAACAAAACUGACUGAGAGAGAGAGAACAGAAUGACGCAAGAAGAAAUAAAAUCAUGUACACUGAAGUAACAACACAGAAAUACUCUGGAAACUACCCAAGCACUGUGGUGACAAUUUUUGUUCCGGCAAACUACACCCAUAUUUUCUUCAGAAACAAAAAUUAGAAACAUCAUUGAGGUUCCUCGCAGUGGCAUUGAUGAUUUGACUAUAUGCAAGUUAAGUGUGUCACUCCCUCCAGCCACAGUGUCAAAAGACAGGGAAACACAGCCUGAUCACAUUGUGCCUGCAGUCUGUGUGCCAGAGACUGAUGGGUUUUUAUCGCCUCUUGUAUAUGGCAGGGAUUCAAAAGCUCCUGCCAGUGAAACUAUGAAGCAAUUUAUCAGGGUUAUCAAACAAUCAACAUUUAGUCAUUACAAAAACGCUCAAGUCUGGCUCCGUUUCAAACCAUCGCAAACAUGAUGACAGAUUUAAAUAACCCGAUUUUUUAGGAAAAUGUGAGUGAAUGUGAUUGUUAUUAUUAUUUAUUAAUUUAUUUUGGUACAAAUUGUGAAAAUGAAUGGCGUCAAAAAUAGUGUGGGAGAACUAUCCCUUAUAGUUCUAUACUGAUUGUAAGUACCUAUUUAUUCUUCACUAUUUAAGAUGCUAUUCUAUAUUUUGUGUGCUUUGAAUAUAUAUAUAUUUCAAUGUUGCACAUUUCAGCUGGUUACAGAACACAAAAACUUACGCCAUUUGAUGUCAUAAAGCACAUUUUUGCAUUCCUAAUUUCAAAUGUUGCUACACUUGUGUCUCACACAUGGCAUUGCAUUGUAAACAUGCAGCUCUCAAGUUAAAAGAAGUUAGACAAAAAAAAAAAAAAAAACAUUGCAGUGCCCUGCGUCUUACAUUUUUGCAUUUCACUGCACUAUAUUUCCAUUGAUGUAACAUGCAAUGGACAGAAGCAUUUGACCCGUGUGUGAACAUCUAAUGUCUUCUACAGUUUCUUGUGUUGCUGAAAGUAGUUGAAAUUAUUGAAAGUACAUAUCCAGAUGGUUUUUCAUGCCACUGCCCUUUUGAAUGCAAAAAUGACCACCUGCUGAUGAUUUUUGCAUUGCGUUGCGUGCUACAGUAGAUGGACAAAUUUCACCAUUGUUGAUCGUUGACACUCUAUUCUAAAAAUGCUGUGCUUAAGCGAAGUCAAGCAGUUCUUUAUAAACCAUUUAAAACCUUUGAAGGUUGAAAGUCUUGGUUACCAUUUACUUUCAUUUAAUGAAAAUAGCAUUUCACCCUACACUGCAGAUAGUUACAAAGGUUUGGAACGACAUCAAAGUCAAGUAAACGAUGACAUAAAUGUAUUACAUUUUAGUCCAUUUCAUUAAACAAUUUUGUUCUAAA